AUAGAGCUGAAAAAGAGCCAUAUCCUCAUCCAUUGAAUAUAAAAAUCUGCAUUGCAAAGUUUAAGAAAAUACCUGGAUUGUAGAAAAUAAAUACAACAGUGAAGAAAUAGAGCUCAGCAGGAAAAAAAUAGCAGCAAACACAAGCAGAAAAUAACAGUAGUUUCGUUUUUAAACAGCCCGAAAACCUUAGAAGAAACCUAGAACCAGCUCUAAAGAAGAAUUAUACAUUUCUAAAAGUUUGCACUCUAAAAUUUACUCACAAAGCUUACCAUUUUAGCUUACUAAAGGGUGCUUUAGUUGCUGAUUUUUUACUCUCCAAGUUGUAUUUUUAGGGUGUAAAGAUUGCCUAACAAAUGUGUGAUCCAGUCUCAAGUGAGGAAAUAGCAGCCCCUUAAAUAGGCAAAUAAAGUCCAUUUUUUGGGACAGAUUUUGGUUCACUAAAAAUCUGUCCAAAAGACUAACUUUGUGUGCUAAACACUGUUCAAGAUCUAUCCCAAAGAUGAAAGGACAGCCUGAAAAUCUGCUGUGUCAGAAGCAAGGAGAAAAAAUAUCAUUUCAGCUACCCUACUAGUAAAAGUAGGCUACUAUUAUCCUAUUUUGUGAUAAAAUAAACUAAACUUCAGAUUUUAACCCUUAACAACAAACUACUUGCUCAACACAAAUCAAACUUGAAUAACUAUGAAUUGACAAAGCAUAAACGAGACUAAAAAUGUAAUUGAACUAAGUAUUCAAACCAACUUGAUUGGAAUGAAUUCGAUUUGUGCAAACUAAUUACUAAACAAACAACUAAAUUCAAAAACAAAUGCUCAAAACAGAACGAGCAUUGUUAACAAUCGGGCAACAACUAACAACAACAAAAUAAUCGACUAACUACGUGAAUGAUUUAACUAAUACACUAAAGAUCAUGUUUAAAUCAAUAACAAAUCUAACAAACAACUAAAGUAAAUAGAGAUAACUAAUUAAAUAAACCUAACUUGAAACUCUAAUUAACAAGAAACAACCAAAACAGAAAAAUCAAAAAUCAGAAACUAAUCUACUAAUAUAAAAAAUCAAAAAUUAAUUAAAGAGAUGACGAUUAUACCUAACAAGUAUGCUUGAAACUGUUCGAGCCACGAGAAGACGCCGGGGAUGCUAAAAGGCGAUUGCCCGAUUCCGUAACGCAUAUUUCUUUUGGGUAGAUGCUAGAACGAAAUGAGUUUCAGCAUCUCGCCAAAAGAAACGAGUGUCUUUAAGUCGAAAAAUAGCUAGGAUGGGGGUUCAGGGCAUUUUGGCAGUGGUGAGGCAGUGGAGCCGCGGCGGCAGUGAGAAGCGGGCCGGCGGCGACAGGGAUUUUGGGGGUGAAAUGGGUAGGAAAAGAUAGGUCUCGUGGAGCUCUAUAUAUUCAUGUAUGUGUUGUAGGGUGGUGUUGGCCGGAAAUUUAAGAAUUUGGACCAAAAAAUGGCGGCUAAAGUUUCCUAGUUAUAAAAUUCAAGGAGUUUGAGGGGGUUUUGAAGGAAUUGGUUUGGAGAUAUGGGAAGAGGAGGUUGUGAAGAUUACAUG
rnacentral:lncRNA from 1 species